GCUCAGAACGAACGCUGGCGGCGUGGAUAAGACAUGCAAGUCGAACGGGGCAGGUAGCAAUAUCUGUUCAGUGGCGGACGGGGUGCGUAACACGUGAACAAUCUGCCCGGAAGAGAGGGAUAGCCCAUGGAAACGUGGAUUAAUACCUUAUGUGAUCGUUGGGGGGCAUCCUCUGGCGAUGAAACGCGCUUUACGGUGCGGCUUCCGGAUGAGUUCGCGGCCUAUCAGCUAGUUGGCGGGGUAAAGGCCCACCAAGGCUACGACGGGUAGCUGGUCUGAGAGGAUGACCAGCCACACUGGAACUGAGACACGGUCCAGACACCUACGGGUGGCAGCAGUCGAGAAUCAUUCACAAUGGGCGAAAGCCUGAUGGUGUGACGCCGCGUGGAGGAUGACGGUCUUCGGAUUGUAAACUCUCGUCAAGUGGGAGUAAAGCUUGGUGUUAACUGCAUCCAAGUCUGAGAGUACACUAGAGGAAGAGACGGCUAACUCUGUGCCAGCA
rnacentral:rRNA from 1 species